rnacentral:rRNA from 1 species
UACGGACGGGGCAAGCGUUGUUCGGAAUCAUUGGGCGUAAAGGGCGCGCAGGUGGCUCUGUAUGUCUGCCUUGAAAGCAUACAGCUCAACUGUAUUGUGUCGGUAGAAACUGCAGGACUUGAGGCUGGGAGGGGCUGGUGGAAUUCCCUGUGUAGCGGUGAAAUGCGUAGAGAUGGGGGAGAACACUCGUGGCGAAGGCGGCCAGCUAGACCAGUUCUGACACUGAGGCGCGACAGCGUGGGGAGCAAACAGG